GUGCUACUGCCUGUAAACACACAGUCCAGUUCAUAGUGAAUGAUGGCAGGUCCUACUGCCUGUAAACACACAGUCCAGUUCAUAGUGAAUGAUGGCAGGACCUACUGUCUAUAAACACACAGUCCAGUUCAUAGUGAAUGAUGACAGGCCCUACUGCCUGUAAACACACAGUCCAGUUCAUAGUGAAUGAUGGCAGGUCCUACUGUCUAUAAACACACAGUCCAGUUCAUAGUGAAUGAUGGCAGGUCCUACUGUCUAUAAACACACAGUCCAGUUCAUAGUGAAUGAUGGCAGGUCCUACUGCUGUAAACACACAGUCCAGUUCAUAGUGAAUGAUGGCAGGUCCUACUGUCUAUAAACACACAGUCCAGUUCAUAGUGAAUGAUGGCAGGUCCUACUGCUGUAAACACACAGUCCAGUUCAUAGUGAAUGAUGACAGGACCUACUGUCUAUAAACACACAGUCCAGUUCAUAGUGAAUGAUGGCAGGACCUACUGCCUGUAAACACAGUCCAGUUCAUAGUGAAUGAUGACAGGACCUACUGCCUGUAAACACACAGUCCAGUUCAUAGUGAAUGAUGGCAGGUCCUACUGCUGUAAACACACAGUCCAGUUCAUAGUGAAUGAUGGCAGGACCUACUGCCUGUAAACACACAGUCCAGUUGGGCACUAAUUAAUUGGUCAACCUCUAAUAUAAAACACAUUUGAAUAAGAUUUCAUGUUGCUAAAAUGCUGUCAGUUCCACUUUUAAGGUUAGAGAAAAUAGGAUUUUGAAUGGGAAUCAAUUGUUUGGUCCCCACAAUGAUAGUAAAACAAACAUGUGUGUGUGUGUGUGUGUGUGUGUGUGUGUGUGUGUAGGACAUCAGACCUGACACGGUUCACUAGAAUACUAAUUGGAGGAGAUGGUUUCAAAGCAGGAAACAUAAAUAUCUUAACAGAACUGCUGCUGGUUUAUGUUCACCGUCUUGGAAUAUACACAUAUUCUCUCUGGCAGAAAGAAAGAAAACCUGGGACCU
rnacentral:lncRNA from 1 species